UACGAAGGGGGCUAGCGUUGCUCGGAAUCACUGGGCGUAAAGCGCACGUAGGCGGCUUGUUAAGUCAGGGGUGAAAUCCUGGAGCUCAACUCCAGAACUGCCCUUGAUACUGAGGAUCUCGAGUUCGGGAGAGGUGAGUGGAACUGCGAGUGUAGAGGUGAAAUUCGUAGAUAUUCGCAAGAACACCAGUGGCGAAGGCGGCUCACUGGCCCGAUACUGACGCUGAGGUGCGAAAGCGUGGGGAGCAAACAGG
rnacentral:rRNA from 1 species